rnacentral:rRNA from 1 species
AUGGCCUCCACCAAGAGCUGGGCGCACGAGAUCGAGGCGUCCGUGGCGGCGCCACGCCUGUUCCGCGCCGGCGUCAUGGACUGGCACACGCUGGCGCCCAAGCUCGCCCCGCAGGUCGUCGCCAGCGCCCACCCCGUCGAGGGCGAGGGCGGCGUCGGCAGCGUCAGGCAGUUCAACUUCACCUCAGCCAUGCCCUUCAGCGUCGUGAAGGAGAGGCUCGACUUCCUGGACGCGGACGGGUGCGAGUGCCGGUCGACCCUCCUCGAGGGCGGGCACGUCGGCACGGUGAUCGAGACGUCCACGUCGUGCAUCAAGGUGGAGCCGGCGGCCGGCGGCGGCAGCGUCGUCAAGGUGGAGUCCACGUACAAGCUGCUGCCGGGCGUGGAGGAGGGCGAGUACGAGGUCGCCAAGGCCAAGGAGUCCGUCACCGCCAUCUUCAAGGCCGCCGAGGCGUACCUCAUCGCCAACCCGGACGCCUACAACUGA